AAAAAAAGGAAAUUUUUGAUGAAGAUGAUGUCUACAAGUUGGAAGACAGGCCUCCUGUUCUGACCAUCAUGGGACACGUGGACCAUGGGAAAACCACACUUUUGGAUUACAUCAGGAAAAGCAAGGUGGCAGCAUCUGAAGCAGGUGGAAUUACUCAAGGCAUGGGGGCAUACAAGGUACAAGUA